UGCGGGGGGGCAAGCGUUGUUCGGAAUUACUGGGCGUAAAGGGCGCGUAGGCGGCCAUCUAAGUCAGACGUGAAAUCCCUCGGCUCAACCGAGGAACUGCGUCUGAUACUGGAAGGCUUGAAUCCGGGAGAGGGAUGUGGAAUUCCAGGUGUAGCGGUGAAAUGCGUAGAUAUCUGGAGGAACACCGGUGGCGAAGGCGGCAUCCUGGACCGGUAUUGACGCUGAGGCGCGAAAGCUAGGGGAGCAAACGGG
rnacentral:rRNA from 1 species